rnacentral:rRNA from 1 species
GACGAACGCUGGCGGCGUGCCUAAUACAUGCAAGUCGAACGCAGUGGGGACGGGUGAGUAACACGUGCGUCACCUCCCAUCAGAGGGGAUAACACUUGUAAACAGGUGCUAAACCGAUACUGUUGGCUGGACCCUGGGUGCAUUAGCUAGUUGGUGAGGUAACGGCUCACCAAGGCCACGAUGCAUAGACGACCUGAGAGGGUGAUCGGCCACACUGGGACUGAGACACGGCCCAGACUCCUACGGGAGGCAGCAGUAGGGAAUCUUCGGAAAUGGACGAAAGUCUGACCGAGCAACGCCGCGUGAGUGAAGGAGGUUUUCGGAUCGUAAAACUCUGUUGGUAGAGAAGCGGUAUCUAACCAGAAAGCAACGGCUAACUACGUGCCAGCAGCCGCGGUAAUAC